UGCAAGGUGCAGGAUAGAGCAGGGUU
rnacentral:piRNA from 1 species